rnacentral:SRP_RNA from 1 species
ACGGAGCAGCGAAGAGCGGCGCUGGAGAUGGUUGCGGAAUUGCAGCGGAUGAGCA